CCCUUAGAUGUUCUGGGCUGCACGCGCGCUACACUGAUACUUUCAGCGAGUCCACCACCUUGCCUGGGAGGGUGGGGUAACCUCUGGAAAGUGCAUCGUGAUGGGGAUCGAUUAUUGUAAUUAUUAAUCUUCAACGAGGAAUGCCUAGUAGGCGCAAGUCAUCAGCUUGCGUCGAUUACGUCCCUGCCCUUUGUACACACCGCCCGUCGCUCCUACCGAUUGGGUGUGCUGGUGAAAUGUUCGGAUCGGCCGUUUGUCGCGGUUUCCGCGGCUCGUGGCUGAGAAGUUCAUUAAACCCUCCCACCUAGAGGAAGGAGAAGUCGUAACA
rnacentral:rRNA from 1 species